rnacentral:rRNA from 1 species
AUUCCAGCUCCAAUAGCGUAUAUUAAAGUUGUUGCAGUUAAAAAGCUCGUAGUUGAACUUCUUGGCAUCCUUUAAGCUGGCUUCGGUCGUUUCAAGGGUGUCAAUCCGCUAGGGAACUACAUUCGCACUUCACUGUGCGGUGUAAGGAACUGGCAUUUUACUUAGAAAAAAUUAGAGUGUUCAAGGCAGGCUAUCGCCCUGAAUACACAAGCUUGGAAUAAUGAAAUAGGACUAUUUCCAUUUUAUUGGUUAUUGGAUUUAGUAAUGAUUAAUAGGGACAGUUGGGGGCAUUUGUAUUUAGUAGUCAGAGGUGAAAUUCUUGGAUUUAUUAAAGACAAACUUAUGCGAAAGCAUUUGCCAAGGAUGUUUUCAUCA